rnacentral:lncRNA from 1 species
AGAUCAGGACCAGAUACCAUGCUGGGAAGCCUGGCUGCUCUUUGAGGGCUGAGAUGAACUUAGCAAUGUAGAGAAGAACAAAGAGAGGCUUGUGCUCACCGUGUUCCAGAGGGAUCACCGUGUUCCCUUUGUUCAUUUGAAGACAUGAAUACAACUAUGGUCUUUAGACAAAAGGCAUAUGCCAGGCAGUAUGAAUGGUCUCUCUUGUCUGUGCAAUUAGUAUGUAAGAGCACGUGAACUGGUUCCUGGGACCUCUACCUGUUUUAGUAUGAUAGCACCACAGUAAAGGGCCUGGACUUAACAAAGCUUCAAAUUUGGAAGCAGCAGUGAAACUCCACAGGAUAUAAUGAAGGCAUGAAAUAUACUAGUUGAACAAGGAAAUGAACUUGAACCAAAUUGUGAGGGUCUCUGCAGUGAAAUAUUAAAGGUACAGAUUAAAGCU